AUGCUUACUUUGGCAGCACAUAUACUAAAAUGGAAACAAUACAGAGAAGAUUAGCACAGCCCCUGCAAAGGGACGACCCCAAAUUCGUGAAGCAUUCCAUUUUUUU